UACGGAGGAUGCGAGCGUUAUCCGGAUUUAUUGGGUUUAAAGGGUGCGUAGGCGGGCAAAUAAGUCAGUGGUGAAAGAUCCGGGCUCAACCGGGAUACUGCCAAUGAUACUGUUUGUCUGGAGUGUAAACGAAGUGGGCGGAAUGUGGAGUGUAGCGGUGAAAUGCAUAGAUAUUCCACAGAACACCGAUAGCGAAGGCAGCUCACUAGCAUACAACUGACGCUGAGGCACGAAAGCGUGGGGAGCAAAC
rnacentral:rRNA from 1 species